rnacentral:rRNA from 1 species
AACCUCCGCAAUGUGAGAAAUCGCGACGGGGGGAUCCCAAGUGCCAUUCUUAACGGGAUGGCUUUUCAUUAGUGUAAAGAGCUUUUGGAAUAAGGGCUGGGCAAGACCGGUGCCAGCCGCCGCGGUAACACCGGCAGCUCUAGUGGUAACAAUUUUUAUUGGGCCUAAAGCGUCCGUAGCCGGUUUAAUAAGUCUCUGGUGAAAUCCUGUAGCUUAACUGUGGGAAUUGCUGGAGAUACUAUUAGACUUGAGACCGGGAGAGGUUAGAGGUACUCCCAGGGUAGAGGUGAAAUUCUGUAAUCCUGGGAGGACCGCCUGUUGCGAAGGCGUCUAACUGGAACGGUUCUGACGGUGAGGGACGAAAGUUAGGGGCGCGAACCGGAUUAGAUACCCGGGUAGUCCUAACCGUAAACGAUGCGGACUUGGUGUUGGGGUGGCUUUGAGCUGCUCCAGUGCCGAAGGGAAGCUGUUAAGUCCGCCGCCUGGGAAGUACGGUCGCAAGACUGAAACUUAAAGGAAUU